rnacentral:rRNA from 1 species
UCAAGUUAUUAAGGGUGCAGGGCGGAUGCCUUGGCACUAGGAGCCGAUGAAGGACGUGAUAAGCUGCGAUAAGCUUCGGGGAGUUGCACGUAAACUUUGAUCCGAAGAUUUCCGAAUGAGGAAACUCACUUAGAGUAAUGUCUAAGUAUCAUUAAGUGAAUACAUAGCUUAAUGAGGGGAACUCAGGGAACUGAAACAUCUAAGUACCUGAAGGAAGAGAAAGAAAUUCGAUUCCGUAAGUAGCGGCGAGCGAACGCGGAUUAGCCCAAACCAAUAAAGUUUUCUUUAUUGGGGUUGCGGACAUAUCAUAACGAAGAGGUAUCGUAAUUGAAGAGGUUUGGAAAGACCCACCACAGAAGGUAAUAGUCCUGUAUGUUAAACGAGAAGACUUUAGAUAUGAUCCAGAGUACCACGGGACACGUGAAACCCUGUGGGAAGCAGGAGGGACCACCCUCCAAGGCUAAAUACUACCUAGUGACCGAUAGCGUAUAGUACCGUGAGGGAAAGGUGAAAAGAACCCCGGGAGGGGAGUGAAAUAGAACCUGAAACCCUGCACUUACAAGCUGUGGAAGCACAUUUCUUGUGUGACCGCGUACUUUUUGUAGAACGGGCCAACGAGUUACGUUAAGUAGCAAGGUUAAGCACUUAAGGUGUGGAGCCGUAGCGAAAGCGAGUUUUAACUGAGCGUUCAGUUACUUGACGUAGACCCGAAACCGGGCGACCUACCCAUGAGCAGGAUGAAGCGAAAGUAAAAUUUCGUGGAGGUCCGAACCUACGAGCGUUGAAAAGCUCGGGGAUGACUUGUGGGUAGCGGUGAAAUUCCAAUCGAGCCCGGAGAUAGCUGGUUCUCCCCGAAAUAGCUUUAGGGCUAGCCUCAAGGUGAGAGAUACGGAGGUAGAGCACUGAAUGUCCUAGGGGGUAUUGCACCUACCGAAGACUAUCAAACUCCGAAUGCCGUCAUCUUAUACUUGGGAGUCAGACUGUGGGUGAUAAGAUUCAUAGUCGAAAGGGCAACAGCCCAGAUCGUCAGCUAAGGUCCCUAAAUGUAAGUUAAGUGGUAAAGGAUGUGGGAUUGCACAGACAACCAGGAUGUUGGCUUAGAAGCAGCCACUCAUUCAAAGAGUGCGUAAUAGCUCACUGGUCGAGUGAUCCUGCGCCGAAGAUUUCCGGGGCUAAAACUUACUACCGAAGCUACGGCAUCAGUAAUGAUGGGUAGGGGAGCUUCCCAUACGGGUUGAAGCAUGACCGUAAGGACAUGUGGACAGUAUGGGAGUGAGAAUGUUGGCAUGAGUAGCGAGAUGUGGGUGGGAAUCCCACAGGCCGUAAACCCAAGGUUUCCAGGGGAAGGUUCGUCCGCCCUGGGUUAGUCGGGACCUAAGCUGAGGCCGAAAGGCGUAGGUGAUGGACAACAGGUUGAUAUUCCUGUACUACCGAUAACCAUUUGAGAGAAGGGAUGACACAGUAGGAUAAGCUAAGCACACUGUUGGUUAUGUGUGCCCAAGCAUUGAGGCAGUCAAAGUAGGCAAAUCCGCUUUGAUAAUGCUGGGAUGUGAUGGGGAGCGAAAUUUAGUAGCGAAGUAGCUGAUUUCACACUGUCAAGAAAAGUCUCUAUCGAGGUUAAAGGUACCCGUACCGCAAACCGACACAGGUGGGUGAGGAGAGUAUCCUAAGGCCAGCGAGAGAACUGUUGUUAAGGAACUCGGCAAAAUGACCCCGUAACUUAGGGAUAAGGGGUGCCACCAUCAGGUGGCCGCAGAGAAUAGGCCCAAGCGACUGUUUACCAAAAACAUAGGUUUCUGCUAAGUCGCAAGACGAUGUAUAGGAGCUGACGCCUGCCCGGUGCUGGAAGGUUAAGGGGAUCUGUUAGAGCAAUCGAAGCAGUGAACUUAAGCCCCAGUAAACGGCGGCCGUAACUAUAACGGUCCUAAGGUAGCGAAAUUCCUUGUCGGGUAAGUUCCGACCCGCACGAAAGGCGUAACGAUUUGGGCACUGUCUCAACAACAGACUCGGUGAAAUUGUAAUUCCGGUGAAGAUGCCGGAUACCUGCGACAGGACGGAAAGACCCCAUGGAGCUUUACUGUAGCUUGACAUUGGGUCUUGGUACUACAUGUACAGGAUAGGUGGGAGGCUUUGAAACCAGGACGCCAGUUUUGGCGGAGCCAUCCUUGGGAUACCACCCUUGUAGUACUGGGACUCUAACCAUAGGCCAUGAAUCUGGUCUUGGGACACUGUCAGGUGGGCAGUUUGACUGGGGCGGUCGCCUCCCAAAAGGUAACGGAGGCGCUCAAAGGUUCUCUCAGUACGGUCGGAAAUCGUACGUAGAGUGUAAAGGCAAAAGAGAGCUUGAUUGCAAGACAUACAGGUCGAGCAAGGAUGAAAAUCGGACUUAGUGAUCCGGUGGUUCUGCGUGGAAGGGCCAUCGCUCAACGGAUAAAAGCUACCCUGGGGAUAACAGGCUUAUCUCCCCCAAGAGUCCACAUCGACGGGGAGGUUUGGCACCUCGAUGUCGGCUCAUCACAUCCUGGGGCUGUAGUAGGUCCCAAGGGUUGGGCUGUUCGCCCAUUAAAGUGGUACGCGAGCUGGGUUCAGAACGUCGUGAGACAGUUCGGUCCCUAUCCGUCGCAGGCGUAGGAAAUUUGAGAAGACCUGUCCUUAGUACGAGAGGACCGGGAUGGACGUACCUCUGGUGUACCAGUUGUUCUGCCAAGGGCAUGGCUGGGUAGCUAUGUACGGAAUGGAUAAGCGCUGAAAGCAUCUAAGCGCGAAGCCAACUUCAAGAUAAGAUUUCCCACCGCAAGGGUAAGACCCCAGAAAGACUAUCUGGUUGAUAGGUCGAAGGUGUAAGUGCAGCAAUGUAUUUAGCUUAUCGAUACUAAUAGGUCGAGGACUUGACCAA